UUUUAUUUGAAAAUAAACUUUUUACUAUAUUCUCCGAUAAUGUUAUUGUUGGUAAUGUUUGUUUGAUAGAUAAUUCGUACAAACUUAAUUUGAGUCAAUUCUUUUAGAAUAAUUUUAAUAUUGAUCAUAAUAUUAGUGUUAAAAGAAACAUUCUUAAAAAAAACUUCUCUUAUUUAUGACACAUACGUUUAACUCAUAUCUCUUUAAAGAGAAUAAAAAGAUUGGCAAACGAAAGGAUCUUACAAGAUUUUGACUUUACUGAUUUUGGUAUUUGUCUGGAAUGCGUAUUACUUUUGCAUUCAUCUAAUAAUUUAAUAUUUUUUAAUAUUAAAAACUAAA
rnacentral:lncRNA from 1 species